GCAUGGGCCCAAUGGACGUAGUCCACUAAGCUCAAGCAAGCCUAUUAAUCUGACAUGUUCAUCAUUCCAUCAUAAACUGCUAAGUCAUAUAUCAUAACUUAGAAUCAAAAUAAUAUUAAGCAUUGCCACUUCAUACUGGCAUACCAAACAGGUGUAUAUACACUGUCUACACAUGUAUCUUAAUAAUUCACAUUAAGUUCGUCUAUACACAACAAAAGGAGACUCGAUGUCCAGU
rnacentral:lncRNA from 1 species